UUGCUUCUCUUGAGAGCGGCGGACGGGUGAGUAAUGCCUAGGAAUCUGCCUGGUAGUGGGGGAUAACGUUCGGAAACGGACGCUAAUACCGCAUACGUCCUACGGGAGAAAGCAGGGGACCUUCGGGCCUUGCGCUAUCAGAUGAGCCUAGGUCGGAUUAGCUAGUUGGUGGGGUAAUGGCUCACCAAGGCGACGAUCCGUAACUGGUCUGAGAGGGUGAUCAGUCACACUGGAACUGAGACACGGUCCAGACUCCUACGGGAGGCAGCAGUGGGGAAUAUUGGACAAUGGGCGAAAGCCUGAUCCAGCCAUGCCGCGUGUGUGAAGAAGGUCUUCGGAUUGUAAAGCACUUUAAGUUGGGAGGAAGGGUUGUAGAUUAAUACUCUGCAAUUUUGACGUUACCGACAGAAUAAGCACCGGCUAACUCUGUGCCAGCAGCCGCGGUAAUACAGAGGGUGCAAGCGUUAAUCGGAAUUACUGGGCGUAAAGCGCGCGUAGGUGGUUUGUUAAGUUGGAUGUGAAAUCCCCGGGCUCAACCUGGGAACUGCAUUCAAAACUGACUGACUAGAGUAUGGUAGAGGGUGGUGGAAUUUCCUGUGUAGCGGUGAAAUGCGUAGAUAUAGGAAGGAACACCAGUGGCGAAGGCGACCACCUGGACUAAUACUGACACUGAGGUGCGAAAGCGUGGGGAGCAAACAGGAUUAGAUACCCUGGUAGUCCACGCCGUAAACGAUGUCAACUAGCCGUUGGAAGCCUUGAGCUUUU
rnacentral:rRNA from 1 species